GGAGAAGAGAGCGACACGCGUGAAGGAGGUCUGAAAAUGGUGGGUCCUUGGAAGCGCCUCGCGCACCAGGUGGGCGAGCUUGCGGAGACGAGGCGGUUUUCAGCUUCCUUUCUGUGGGAAGAGUCCUUGCUGAAGUCCUGAAAAUGAUCUCUUGCAUGGAGGUAAUGAAAGCGACCUUUUAGUAAAGGCAUGUGAAAACUGGAGAUUUUCCAAGCUGAGGUUUUGAUAUUGUCUUGACGUCCAAUGUUCUGCUAGAUCGAGAGGCCGAGCCAUGACAAAGCCGGGCUGUUGGGAGUAUAAAGAUAGAAUAUAUUUGGAUUACAGCUGCCAAAAUGGAGUUAGAUUGUCUAGGAGAAUCGUGAGCUACUACCAUUGAUCAUCGACCUUGAUUUCAACGUCUAAUUUAUUUUCCUGGUACUUGUUAUGGGGCCAUGGAGAAUACAAGCGCUCAUAAUUUAGAAUUUAAUUAGUCUGCCC